rnacentral:rRNA from 1 species
GAUGAACGCUGGCGGCGUGCCUAAUACAUGCAAGUCGAGCGAAUGGAUUAAGAGCUUGCUCUUAUGAAGUUAGCGGCGGACGGGUGAGUAACACGUGGGUAACCUGCCCAUAAGACUGGGAUAACUCCGGGAAACCGGGGCUAAUACCGGAUAAUACUUUGAACUGCAUGGUUCAAAAUUGAAAGGCGGCUUCGGCUGUCACUUAUGGAUGGACCCGCGUCGCAUUAGCUAGUUGGUGAGGUAACGGCUCACCAAGGCAACGAUGCGUAGCCGACCUGAGAGGGUGAUCGGCCACACGGGGACUGAGACACGGCCCAGACUCCUACGGGAGGCAGCAGUAGGGAAUCUUCCGCAAUGGACGAAAGUCUGACGGAGCAACGCCGCGUGAGUGAUGAAGGCUUUCGGGUCGUAAAACUCUGUUGUUAGGGAAGAACAAGUGCUAGUUGAAUAAGCUGGCACCUUGACGGUACCUAACCAGAAAGCCACGGCUAACUACGUGCCAGCAGCCGCUGUAA